rnacentral:rRNA from 1 species
CUACGGGGCGCUGCAGUGGGGAAUAUUGCACAAUGGGGGGAACCCUGAUGCAGCAACGCCGCGUGGAGGAUGACGCAUUUCGGUGUGUAAACUCCUUUUAUAUGUCAAGAAAAUGACGGUAGCAUAUGAAUAAGCACCGGCUAACUCCGUGCCAGCAGCCGCGGUAAUACGGAGGGUGCAAGCGUUACUCGGAAUCACCGGGCGUAAAGGACGCGUAGGCGGGUUGGAAAGUCAGGUGUGAAAUCCUACAGCUUAACUGUAGAACUGCACUUGAAACUUCUAAUCUAGAGUAUGGGAGGGGGAGAUGGAGUUAGUGGUGUAGGGGUAAAAUACGUAGAUAUCACUAGGAAUACCUAAAGCGAAGGCGAUCUCCUGGAACAUUACUGACGCUAAGGCGUGAAAGCGUGGGGAGCAAACAGGAUUAGAUACCCCCGUAGUC